GAUGAACGCUGGCGGCGUGCCUAAUACAUGCAAGUCGAGCGAACAGACGAGGAUCUUGCUCCUCUGACGUUAGCGGCGGACGGGUGAGUAACACGUGGAUAACCUACCUAUAAGACUGGGAUAACUUCGGGAAACCUGAGCUAAUACCGGAUAAGAUAUUGAACGGCAUGGUUCAAUAGUGAAAGACGGUUUUGCUGUCACUUAUAGAUGUAUCCGCGCCGCAUUAGCUAGUUGGUAAGGUAACGGCUUACCAAGGCAACGAUGCGUAGCCGACCUGAGAGGGUGAUCAGCCACACUGGAACUGAGACACGGUCCAGACUCCUACGGGAGGCAGCAGUAGGGAAUCUUGCGCAAUGGGCGAAAGCCUGACGGAGCCGCGCCGCGUGAGUGAUGAAGGUCUUCGGAUCGUAAAACUCUGUUAUUAGGGAGGAACGAAUGUGUAAGUAACUCUGCACGUCUUGACGGUACCUACUCAGAAAGCCACGGCUAACUACGUG
rnacentral:rRNA from 1 species